rnacentral:rRNA from 1 species
GAUGAACGCUGGCGGCGUGCCUAAUACAUGCAAGUCGAGCGAAUGGAUUAAGAGCUUGCUCUUAUGAAGUUAGCGGCGGACGGGUGAGUAACACGUGGUAACCUGCCCAUAAGACUGGGAUAACCCCGGGAAACCGGGGCUAAUACCGGAUAACAUUUUGAACCGCAUGGUUCGAAAUUGAAAGGCGGCUUCGGCUGUCACUUAUGGAUGGACCCGCGUCGCAUUAGCUAGUUGGUGAGGUAACGGCUCACCAAGGCAACGAUGCGUAGCCGACCUGAGAGGGUGGUCGGCCACACUGGGACUGAGACACGGCCCAGACUCCUACGGGAGGCAGCAGUAGGGAAUCUUCCGCAAUGGACGAAAGUCUGACGGAGCAACGCCGCGUGAGUGAUGAAGGCUUUCGGGUCGUAAAACUCUGUUGUUAGGGAAGAACAAGUGCUAGUUGAAUAAGCUGGCACCUUGACGGUACCUAACCAGAAAGCCACGGCUAACUACGUGCCAGCCGCCGCCGUAA